UUGGAUCCGCGGGACAAGAAAAUUCAUGCGAGGGAGAACUGGUGGGCGGUCCUUCCUGUGACACGACCCUUGAGUGACAGUUCUAUUUGAUUGCCUCCAGUACUGUGAGGAAAGGACACGACUCUAUGGUGAGGACUGAUGGACAUACAUUAUCUGAGAAAAGAAACUACCAGGUGACAAACAGCAUGUUUGGUGCUUCAAGAAAGAAGUUUGUAGAGGGGGUGGACAGCGACUACCAUGAUGAAAACAUGUACUACAGCCAGUCUUCUAUGUUCCCACAUCGGUCAGAGAAAGAUAUGCUGGCAUCACCAUCUACAUCAGGUCAGCUGUCUCAAUUUGGGGCAAGUUUAUACGGGCAACAAAGUGCACUAGGCCUUCCAAUGAGGGGGAUGAGCAACAAUACCCCUCAGUUAAAUCGCAGCUUAUCACAAGGCACUCAGUUACCGAGCCACGUCACGCCAACAACAGGGGUACCAACAAUGUCACUUCACACGCCUCCAUCUCCAAGCAGGGGUAUUUUGCCUAUGAAUCCUAGGAAUAUGAUGAACCACUCCCAGGUUGGUCAGGGCAUUGGAAUUCCUAGCAGGACAAAUAGCAUGAGCAGUUCAGGGUUAGGUAGCCCCAACAGAAGCUCGCCAAGCAUAAUAUGUAUGCCAAAGCAGCAGCCUUCUCGACAGCCUUUUACUGUGAACAGGUAAAGUUUAUCCACUGUGUGCUAAGAGUUCUGGGUUCAUGAAUAUGACUGGAGGAAGACAUGCUGGAUUGUGACUGCCAUACCUCCAUUGUGCAUUGUAUAGCUGCCUGCUGAGCUAAAAUACUCU
rnacentral:lncRNA from 1 species